AACAGCAUGAUAGUGAAUGUCAGACACAAUAGUUGUCCGUGUGAGAGACUUGGAUUGAAAUGGAAGAGAGUUUGCUUGAAAAGGAAAUAAAUUAGAAUUCUCAGUUCCAGAUUAUCUUAUCUUUGUACAGGAGGGAUUUGGCCACCUUUCUAAUCAUGAGGAGGACAUGAUGGACAGGUGUGCUCACAGGUGACAGUGGAGGCUGCCCCAGAGUAGUGCUGGCCAACAGGUCCAGGAAGCAGCACCAGCUGUCUCCUCUCCAGAAAAUGAAUAUUGUGUUCCUGGUCUUUGCUUUUGUGGCUGUGAUCGGUGCAGCACCAGUACCAGACAGCGAUGCUU